CUAAAUGGAUUCUCAAAAUUGGCUAUCUAUGCACUAGUCCCCUAGGGUUUUAGCCCAAACCCUCUACCUUCAUUUCUACAGUAAAACUUUCUCAUCAAUUCACAUACAUUCUCAAGAAUUCUCCUUUCCGAUGGCUAUCGCCGCCGCUAGAUCCAUUUUACGGUCACCGGCCGUUCGAAAUGCCGCAUCAAAAAUCGCUUCGGAAGCUAAAGCAGCUCGAUCUCCCUUUCGCUCACCUUCUAGAACUCCUCUUACUCAUCGCAUCUUCAGGUGCCCUUCGGAGAUGAGCGCUUGUUUGGAGUCGCUGCAACCAUACCACACUGUCACUGCUUCGGCUUUGAUGACUUCUAAGCUUACUGAUUCUCUCCGCAGUUACAGUUGGCUUUCAGAAGUUAGGCUAUUGGUUUUUCCUUGAUAAUCGAGAAAUUUCUAAGGGCCAGUGGUACGAGGUCGAAACUCGAAACACAAUGGUAUCUAGCAAGACCUAUAGGAUCCUCAUUUGAUGUCCUUCCCUCAUUUUCUACUUUGCCUUAAAUGAAGAUGUGUGAUGAUUUUUGGAGAGCUGGAGCAAAAAUUACAAGUGUGUACUUUCUCACACUGGCGCGCUAAGUAAAGAGGGUUGUAAUGAGCUGCUCCUGCAUUUUCUAAAAUUUUGUACUUAGAAAUGGUAGCUAGAUCUCAUUUUUCGAAAUACAAACAUCCUCGUCUUGUAAGUUGGAGCUCAGCACUUAUGUCUGACUCUGUGCCUUUCUCUUUAAAUCUUUAUUUAACUUUCUGUAUGUAACUGUGCUAUUGAUGUUUCUAAGAUAAACUUUUGUGGUCA